GAUCAUGGCUCAGGAUGAACGCUGGCGGCGUGCUUAACACAUGCAAGUUGUGCGGUGAUCUCAAGAAGUUUCGGACGGAAAGGGAGAGCAGCAGCGGACGGGUGAGUAAAGCACAAGGACUUGUCCCGAAGAGGGGGACAACUGUGGGAAACCACAGCUAAUACCCCAUAAGCCGAGAGGUGAAAGCAGUAAUGCGCUUUAGGAGAGACUUGUGUCCUAUCAGGUAGUUGGUGAGGUAACGGCUCACCAAGCCGAAGACGGGUAGCCGGACUGAGAGGUUGUACGGCCACAUUGGAACUGAGAGACGGUCCAGACUCCUACGGGAGGCAGCAGUGGGGAAUAUUGGGCAAUGGGGGGCCAACCCUGACCCAGCGACGCCGCGUGAGGGAAGACAGCCUUCGGGUUGUAAACCUCUGUUGCAGGGGAAGAAGAAAGUGACGGUACCCUGCGAGGAAGCUCCGGCAAACUACGUGCCAGCCGCCGC
rnacentral:rRNA from 1 species